AGUGAACGCUGGCGGUAGGCCUAACACAUGCAAGUCGAACGGCAGCACAGUAAGAGCUUGCUCUUACGGGUGGCGAGUGGCGGACGGGUGAGGAAUACAUCGGAAUCUACUUUUUCGUGGGGGAUAACGUAGGGAAACUUACGCUAAUACCGCAUACGAUCUACGGGUGAAAGCAGGGGAUCUUCGGACCUUGCGCGAUUGAAUUAGCCGAUGUCGGAUUAGCUAGUUGGCGGGGUAAAGGCCCACCAAGGCGACGAUCCGUAGCUGGUCUGAGAGGAUGGUCAGCCACACUGGAACUGAGACACGGUCCAGACUCCUACGGGAGGCAGCAGUGGGGAAUAUUGGGCAAUGGGCGCAAGCCUGAUCCAGCCAUACCGCGUGGGUGAAGAAGGCCUUCGGGUUGUAAAGCCCUUUUGUUGGGAAAGAAAAGCAGCAGGUUAAUACCCCGCUGUUCUGACGGUACCCAAAGAAUAAGCACCGGCUAACUUCGUG
rnacentral:rRNA from 1 species